rnacentral:rRNA from 1 species
AAAAAGCUCGUAGUUGGAUUUUGGAUGGAACAAGAUACCUUUAUGUUUUUUCUGCUGUGCAUAUCUGUUAUGUAGCUAGCCUGUUUCUUGAGGCUGUUAUGUGACGUAUGUAUGGUCAUAAAGGUUGUUUCGUCCGUGUUUUUAUAAAACAAUUUUUCGGAAGUAUUCAAUCCCCUUCAUUGGGCGAUUGUAUAAUUUCGGAGGGUUUACUUUGAAGAAAUUGUAGUGUUUAAAGCAGGCGUUUCGCAGCUGAACACAUUAGCAUGGAAUAAUAAAAUAGGACAU